rfam:Weissella ceti strain WS74, complete genome.
GCGGUUGUGGUGAAGUUGGUUAACACACUGGUUUGUGGUUCCAGCAUGCGCGGGUUCGAGUCCCGUCAAUCGCC